AGUUACCCCAUUAUUUCACCAACACAAUCCUUAAGCUUUUUUAAAAUCCCCACCCCCACUACCUCCCCUUUCAAAGAUUCAGAUCAACUCAAACUAAAAUAAACACAUUCAAUGUCCAUUUCUCCACAGACGUUGCCCAAAACUACUCUCAAAUCCAAAAACAAAUAUCAAAUCCAAAAACCAAAUUAACCCAAUUCAGUUUCUAAUUGUUACUAAUCUAUCCUAAACAAUUAGAAACAAUGUUAGACGGAAUGAAACGGCGCAACAACGAAGCAAAUCGGAGACAGAGAGAGAUUUGGGAGGAGGUGGUAGAGGAGAGAGAGGGAGGAGCCUACGACAGUGGUGGUGGAGCUUGCGAUGUAUUGCCUCAAUUGCAGUGGUGGAGCCUGCGACGGUGGUGGAGAUUCUUCACCCUCGAUCUUCGAUUGAGAAUACCCACCAUAUCUGAUUUAUUGGAUGAAUUUUUUGGGUUAAAGAAAGAAAAGAAGAUGAUGAAGAAGAAGAAGAGGGUGGUUGCAGGUUUUUGGCCGCGAUUAUUGCGACGAGCAGCAAUAUAGAUUGAAAUCCUUUAAUCAAUUUUUUUGUUAAAGUUUGUGUCAUAGAUAUGAAUUUUGAGGAGAUUAAAGCAGUAGCAUCAGCGAUUUUUGGGAUUGAAUUUUAGUUUUAGCAAUAAAGGUAUUCCGUUUCUAAUUGUUUAGGUUUUUAGGAUUUUGUGAAUGAUUUAUGUUGUUUCUAAUUGUUUAUGUUUUUAGGAUUUUGUGAAUGAUUUAUGUUGUUUCUAAUUGUUUAGGUGUUUAGGUGUUUUCCUAGAAUUGAUCUAGUUUCAAUAAAAUCACGUUUAAUCGGUGAAAGAAGAAGAUGAUGAUGAUUGAUGGGGUGAAGUAAAAAAAAGUUUUAGUUUUUUUUUUUAAUAAUAGGUAGUUAAUUAUUUUUUUUGGGUUUAAUUAAUAUAAUUAAGUGCUAAUAUUAGAAUUAGUAGAGAAAAUGGUUGACUAUGGGCAAAAAAGUAAAUUCACGCUAACAGAGACUUAACGGAAUGGACGGAAAAUGCUCAUUAAGGGCAUAUUGUGUUAUUGUUUUAAACCUCGGGGGUAUUUGGUGCAUUCUGAAAACAUUAAGGGUAUUUGGUGCAUUAACGCAAACCUCGGGGUCAUUUCAUGAAAAAUCCGUAAAAUAAAAUAUAAGCUUUCUUAAAAAUCAUUACCCCUUAAAUGUCAACAAAUAGAUUAUUUGAAGAAAGUGAAUAAAUCCUAUACUAUAAUAAUCUCGUAAAAAUGUAGAUUAUUUCAUCAAAUCAUAUAUUUUGGGAUUUUUCUCCAUGAUUGUAUAAUUUACCCUAAUUUGAGGAUUUGAUUGAUCGAUCAAUUCCCAACUUUCAGAGGAAGAAUUUUUGGGCUUUCCCUGUUACCAAUUUAAUUCCAUUAUUAUUGCUUCCAUUCAAAUCUCAAUGGCUAGGAUAAAUACAAGUUAUACAACCGUAAAUUCAUUACCCUCCCUCAAGCAAAAUAAGGGAUUUGAAUCAAAAUCUCUGUCUUUCUUUGCAGCCUCAAAUCAUGUCGUCCCCCGAAGAAGAAGAAAAUAGCGACCACAACAGGGAAAUUAAUGAUGAUCAAACUAAUGUCGAGGACAUACGAAACACAAAUGAAAAUUAGGAGAAUGGUGAUGAUAUAGCUCUUCAAUUUGGAAAGAAAAGAAGAAGGAAGAUAUCCAAGGUAUGGGAAGAAUUUACUACAUAGAAAUUGGCAGUGAGAAGAAAAUGAAAUGCAAGCAUUGUAAGUCACUUUUUAAGUUCAAUGAAAGUGGUACCACUACACAAUAUGGGAGACACUUACUGAUUUGUCCUAAACGUAGAGUGUCUAUUCCAGGACAACCACAACUUAGUAUGCAAACAUGCACUCCUAGAUGUGAUUCUUUUAGUACCAUGAAGCCUUGGAAGUAUGACCAUGCUAAGAUAAGAGAGCUUUUGUCUCAUAUGGUAAUGGUUGAUGAACUACCCUUUGUGUUUGCUGAAUAUGACAUUUUUAACCUGUUAAUGAAACAAGCUGCCCUUGAUUUUCAAAAGGUGUCACGAACUACUUUAAAAAGUGAUUGUGAAACUAGUUAUGAAAUUGAGAAAAAAAAGGGUUCAGGGUCUAUUGAAAUAUCCUAAAAGAGUUUCUAUUACAACUGAUAUUUGGAGAUCUGGUCAAAAGCUUGAGUACAUGGUUGUUACAUGCCAUUUUGUGCAUGAUUGAAAAUUGCAUAAAAGAGUUUUGAACUUUGUUAAAGUUCCUCCCCCUCAUAAUGGAGCUGCUCUUUCAGACUCCCUUUAUAAAUGUUUAGAGGAUUGGGGUCUAGAGAGAAAAUUAGCUAGUGUUACCAUGGAUAAUGCUUCCUAUAAUGAUGUUGAUGUAAAAAGGUUGAAAGAGAGUCUUUCUUAUUUGGGGAAGUUACCUUAUGAUGGUAAAUUCUUUCAUGUCCGUUGUUGUGCACACAUUCUUAAUAUACUAGUCCAAGAUGGGUUGUCUGAGAUUGAGAGUGUGAUUCAUGACGUGAGAGACUCUGUGAAACAUAUUUCAGCCACUCCUCUUAGAAUCCAAAUGUUUAGUGAGACAACUAAACAGAUGCGUCUUCCAUGCAAAAAAAUUAGUAUUGGACUGUUGUACCAGAUGGAAUUCAACCUAUGAGAUGCUACGUUGUGCUUUGGAGUUCAAAGAUGAUUUCCCUCGCUACCAAGAGAAAGAUUCAUCUUACAAGAAUAAUCCUUCAAGUGAUGAUUGGAACAUGGUUCAAAAGGUGUGCAACUUGCUUGAGAUUUUCAGCGAGAUCACUCAUAUAAUAUCAGGUUGUGAGUAUCCUACAUCCAAUUUAUUUCUUCCUGAGCUUACAUUGAUCAAGGAGACGUUGGAUGAGAAUUCUGUUUCUAGUGAUGCUGACAUGAAGAGAAUGACACUCAAAAUGAAAAGUUGACAAGUAUUGGGGUGACCUUAACUUGUUGAUUGUUGUGGCUGCUGUAAUGGAUCCUAGGAACAAAAUGAAGUUAAUUGAGUUCUCUUUCUGUGCUCUUUAUGGUGAUUUUGAAGCUAAUGAACAUAUAUUUUCUGUUAAAUCA